CCUAUUAUUUAUUUGUUCUAAAUUGCUAUGAUUAACUUGUUGACAAAUCCAAUUAUUUAAUUUUAAUCAUAGUCCAAUUGUCAAUAGAUCUUAUAAAUAAUUUAUAACAGGUAAAUUUUGCGAUUUCUUUCAUCUGUGUAAACCUAGAAACUGUUGGGUUUUAUGCCCUAAAUAAAACUCUUUACAAUCUGAUUAGUUAUCAAUAUAAGAAAUUUGAAGUGAUUGAUGUUUGCAUGAAUUUUACAUGUUAAUAGUUUAAUAUGUUUAUUACAUUCAUACACACAAAAUCAGUUAAAUCCAGAUCAUAUGUUUAUUCACAAUUACAGUAUCGUCAACACAGUGGAAUGUGAUUGUGAUCAUAUGAAUCAAAAGACUUGGUCCCUGUUUCAUCAGUGUUAUUGGAUUUACACUAAUGUGAUAAUCAGCGAUGAUGUGUACUUACACUUGGAGUAAGUGUUAUGUUCUUUCCAGGACAUUAGUAAAGUAUACUAGUUUCGAAUGUAUGGAGUAUACAUUGGACUGGACCGAUAUUGCAACUAAGUUAAGAUAUUAUAAACUUACCGUUAUACAUAUCUUUCCAAGUCAAUAUCAGUAGUUGAUCUUAAGAUUAAAAGAAUCUAAAUCCUGAUAUGCUUAGGCUCAACUCAGGAGUGCUAUUCAUGUUCUUUGAUUUAUUAGUUAAGCCUACUUUUGGGUCAGGGUGAUACGUAUAUUUUGGGAACAUGAUAGUAUGAUUGAGUGGGAGUGCUGAACAUAAAUAUGGAAUCUAUAGCUUCUACUGGUGUAUAGAAGUCAAGUGAUGAUUCCCUUCGAGCUUAGCAAAUAGAAGUAAAUGGAUGAGCUCUUGUUUAACUGACUAAUUAUUAGAUCACUAAACACCAUUUACAGGUAGCUAAGUGUUUUAAGGGGCAAAAUACAUUGAGGGGUGAGAACGGUAAAGAAAUCCCAUCUCGAUGUAGAUCAUCUAUAUAGAGGAUCUUUAAAUCACAAUAAGAUUAUAACAAUGGUUAAAUGAGAUAGCAUAUUGAUAUCAUGGAACAUACAAUAUGCUCUAUAUAAGUCUGAGAGUGCAAUUCUAAGUUCUAAGAGUGGAUUCAACGAAUAAUUAAUAAGUAGGAAUUUACUUGGUAAAUUUGGUUCACUUAUUGGAAGCUCAGCAUAUAGAUCCAUGGUCCCCAUUCUAGUUGAGAAUAUUCUGCUUGUAAGACUCAUUAAUUGAUUCGUGAUUGAUCAAUUAUAAUUCUAAAGUUAGACUAUGUCUAAUUUUAUGAAUUUUCACUAAGCAGGGGUGAAAUUGUAAAGAAAAGAGUUUCUAGGUUUAUUUAUUUAUUAAUGGACUUUAUAUGUCUAAUUAAUGAUUAAAUUAAAUGACAAUAUUAUUUAAUAAUCUAUUUUAGUUAUUAAAUAAUUAGUUUUGGCAUUUAAAAGGUUAGAAUUGGAAAAUUGGCGUUUUUGAGAAAAUAGAGAUAAAAUUUGAUAAAACUGCAAAAUCAAGUGAGGCCCAAUAUAACACCAUGGUCGGCCACUUAAUGUGGGAUUUCAAAUUAAUAUUUUCAUUAUUUUAAUGCCAAAUAAUUCCUAUCCUAUACCUAGUUGUUGCCUAUAAAUAGAAAGUGAUGGCUCGGUCACAAUACAUGCUUUCAUUAGUAAUCUGACAGAAAUUUCUCUCUUCAGAAAAACUGAGCCUUCCCCACUUUCUAUACCUGGCCGAAACCCUCUCUCCUCUUUUCUCCUUCAUCAAUUUCGACCCUAGUGAAAGAGUAAGUGCCCACACACAGCAAGCAGUAACUCAAUCAUAGAUUGGAAGACUGUGAAUGAUCAAACUUGAAGAAGAAGGACAUUCGGGCUCAGAUCUUGAUUAUACUCUGCUACAGAAAGGAUACAAGGGUUAGAGAUCUGAGUGGAAGGAGACAUUAAUUCCGCUGCAUCAAUUACCCAAUAUGACUAUGAAUAAUCCCAUGGUGUCACUAUUGACUGACAACAAGCUCUCUGGAGCUAACUUUGUCAAAUGGAAAGGGAACAUUAAUAUUGCUCUCAUUGGUGAAAAUGCCCUGUUUGUGUUGACUGAAGAGGCUCCUGAGCAGCUAGGUGAGAAUGCGACCAAGGCAGUCAAGGAAAAGUUCGAGCGUUGGUAGAAUGCCAACAACAAAGCUCCAUACUUCAUGCUGUCUAGCAUGGUUGACACCUUGAAAACAAGGUUUGCCAAUACUCCCACGACUGUAGAUAUCAUGAACCAGUUAACUGAACUGUUUGGGAUGGCGUCAGAUCAAGCUCGUUUUGAGGCAACCAAGAAUUUUAUCAAUGCACGGAUGAAACCUCAUCAAAACGUGCGUGAUCACCUGCUCCAGAUGACUAGUUACUUCUAAGAGGCUAAGAAUAAUGGAGUUAUUAUAGAUCAGACAACUCAAGUGAGUUUGAUCUUGAAUAGUUUGACUCUAGCUUUUCUGCCCUUUACCUCAAAUUAUGUCAUGAACAAGUUGGAUUUUGACUUCCACGAGUUAAUCAACAACCUUCAGACAUUUGAAAAUUUGAUUGGAGGACCACAGAAAGGAGGAGCUAAAGCUCCUAGUUCUGGCACUGCUAAUGGUACGACUAAGGCCGAGGCAAACAUUGCCUCUGCUUCGAAACCCAACAAAAGAAGAAGUGGAAGAAUAACAAGAAGCUUCUUAAAGCUGUUAACACAUAUAAUAAGAAAAAGGUUGCUAAUCCCAAUGCAAAGCAAAAAGGAAAGUGCUUCUAUUGCAAUGAAAAGGGUCACUAGAAACCCCAGUGUCCUAAGUUUUUGGUAAAGAAACAAGCUCCAGCUGCUUAAACUUGGAUUGCUAUCCUUGCGAGUUGAGUCAGAUGGUUAGACAGAAGGGUAGAGAUUGUCCAAGAUUGAAGAUGAAGCUUGAAAUCUACUUUUUAUUUUUGAUUUAAUUGUUUCAAUUUAUGAACAAUUUAGUUUCAAUUAUUGGUUUGGAAUUUUAUUCCCUAUUUCAUAUUAUUGCAGACAAUUCAU